CAGCCGCCGCGGUAAUACGUAGGGUCCGAGCGUUGUCCGGAAUUAUUGGGCGUAAAGAGCUCGUAGGCGGCCUGUCGCGUCUGCUGUGAAAGUCCGGGGCUUAACUCCGGGUGUGCAGUGGAUACGGGCAGGCUUGAGGUAGGUAGGGGAGACUGGAAUUCCUGGUGUAGCGGUGAAAUGCGCAGAUAUCAGGAGGAACACCGGUGGCGAAGGCGGGUCUCUGGGCCUUACCUGACGCUGAGGAGCGAAAGCGUGGGGAGCGAACAGGAUUAGAUACCCUGGUAGUCCACGCCGUAAACGUUGGGCGCUAGGUGUGGGGACUUUCCACGGUUUCCGUGCCGUAGCUAACGCAUUAAGCGCCCCGCCUGGGGAGUACGGCCGCAAGGCUAAAACUCAAAGGAAUUGACGGGGGCCCGCACAAGCGGCGGAGCAUGUUGCUUAAUUCGACGCAACGCGAAGAACCUUACCAAGGCUUGACAUCACCGGUAAUCCUCCAGAGAUGGGGGGUCCUUCGGGGAUCGGUGACAGGUGGUGCAUGGCC
rnacentral:rRNA from 1 species